rnacentral:rRNA from 1 species
UACGUAGGGACCAAGCGUUGUUCGGAAUUACUGGGCGUAAAGCGCGUGUAGGCGGCUAUGUAAGUCGGGCGUGAAAUCCCACGGCUCAACCGUGGAAGUGCACCCGAAACUGCGUAGCUAGAGUCCUGGAGAGGAAGGUGGAAUGCUUGGUGUAGAGGUGAAAUUCGUAGAUAUCAAGCGGAACACCGGUGGCGAAGGCGGCCUUCUGGACAGUGACUGACGCUGAGACGCGAAAGCGUGGGGAGCAAACAGG